UGCCUUGGAAAGGAAAGCUCGUGGCCACC
rnacentral:piRNA from 1 species